AUUGAACGCUGGCGGCAGGCCUAACACAUGCAAGUCGAGCGGAUGAAGGGAGCUUGCUCCUGGAUUCAGCGGCGGACGGGUGAGUAAUGCCUAGGAAUCUGCCUGGUAGUGGGGGAUAACGUCCGGAAACGGGCGCUAAUACCGCAUACGUCCUGAGGGAGAAAGUGGGGGAUCUUCGGACCUCACGCUAUCAGAUGAGCCUAGGUCGGAUUAGCUAGUUGGUGGGGUAAAGGCCUACCAAGGCGACGAUCCGUAACUGGUCUGAGAGGGUGAUCAGUCAACACGGAAACUGAGAACGGGCCCGGCUCCUACGGGGGGGCAGAGGUGGGAAAUAUUGGCAAUUGGGGGAAGGCUUGAUCAAGCCAGGCGGGGGGGGUGAAGAAGGCCUUCGGAUGGUAAAGCCCUUUAAGUGGGGAGAAAGGGAAGUAAGUUAAUACCUGGCUGUUUGACGGUUACCAAAAAAAUAGGCACGGGUAACUUCGGG
rnacentral:rRNA from 1 species